rnacentral:rRNA from 1 species
UACGUAGGGGGCUAGCGUUGUCCGGAAUCAUUGGGCGUAAAGAGCGUGUAGGCGGUUCGGUAAGUCUGCCGUGAAAACCUGGGGCUCAACCGCAGAAUUGCCUUCGAUACUGGACGGCUCGAGACCGGAAGAGGUCAGUGGAACUGCGAGUGUAGAGGUGAAAUUCGUAGAUAUUCGCAAGAACACCAGUGGCGAAGGCGGCUGACUGGUCCGGUUCUGACGCUGAGGCGCGAAAGCGUGGGGAGCAAACAGGAUUAGAAACCCUUGUAGU